rnacentral:lncRNA from 1 species
CUCUCUCAUAUCUUGGAGGAAGUUGUUAUAGGAUCGAAAUUGCCCUUGAAUCGACUCCAUAAAGAGCUUCAAUUGGGGGUCUUGAAUUUGUCCUCCAUCUUUACUAAUAUCUCCUGACUUUCCUGUACUCAUGAUUAGUACUCAAAGAAAUCACAAAGGAAAUUGCUUAAAGUGAAGAAAACACUACCUCACGUGUUUACACUCCUUACCACUCUUUGCAA